CCUACGGGUGGCAGCAGUGGGGGAUAUUGCACAAUGGGGGAAACCCUGAUGCAGCGACGCCGCGUGAGUGAAGAAGUAUUUCGGUAUGUAAAGCUCUAUCUGCAGGGAAGAAAAUGACAGUACCUGACCAAGAAUCCCCGUCUAACUACGUGCCAGCAGCCGCGGUAAUACGGAGGCGGCCAGCGUUAUCCGGCUUUACUGGGUGUAAGGGGGGCGUAGACGGUUUUGUAAGUCUGUAGUGAAAGUCCGGGGCCCAACCCCGGGACUGCUUUGGAAACUGUGUAACUGGAGUACAGGAGGGGCAGGCGGAAUUCGUGGUGUAGCCGUGAAAUGCGGAGAUAUCAGGAGGAACACCGGUGGCGAAGGCGGCCUGCUAGACUGAAACUGACGUUGAGGCUCGAAAGCGUGGGGAGCAAACAGGAUUAGAUACCCUUGUAGUC
rnacentral:rRNA from 1 species